rnacentral:rRNA from 1 species
AACGAACGCUGGCGGCAGGCUUAACACAUGCAAGUCGAGCGGACCUUUCGGGGUCAGCGGCGGACGGGUGAGUAACGCGUGGGAAUAUGCCCUUCUCUACGGAAUAGUCCUGGGAAACUGGGGGUAAUACCGUAUACGCCCUUUGGGGGAAAGAUUUAUCGGGGAAGGAUUAGCCCGCGUUGGAUUAGGUAGUUGGUGGGGUAAUGGCCUACCAAGCCGACGAUCCAUAGCUGGUUUGAGAGGAUGAUCAGCCACACUGGGACUGAGACACGGCCCAGACUCCUACGGGAGGGAGCAGUGGGGAAUCUUAGACAAUGGGGGCAACCCUGAUCUAGCCAUGCCGCGUGAGUGAUGAAGGCCUUAGGGUUGUAAAGCUCUUUCAGCUGGGAAGAUAAUGACGGUACCAGCAGAAGAAGCCCCGGCUAACUCCGUG